rnacentral:rRNA from 1 species
AUACCUGAUAAGGAAAGAACACUGGAAUGUUUCUUUUCUCAAAUUCGAGCCUUAGGAUGAGUCGGCGGCCGAUUAGGCAGUUGGCGGUGUAACGGACCACCAAACCAGAGAUCGGUACGGGCCCUGAGAGGGGUAGCCCGGAGAGGGACACUGAGAUACUGGUCCCAGCCCUACGGGGUGCAGCAGGCGCGAAAACUUUACAAUGCACGAAAGUGUGAUAAUGGAAUCCUAAGUGCUCAGGCAUUGCCUGGGCUUUUGCCAUAUGUAAAUAGUAUGGCGAAUAAGUAGUGGGCAAGACUGGUGCCAGCCGCCGCGGUAACACCAGCGCUACAAGUGGCAAUCACGUUUAUUGGGCCUAAAGCGUCCGUAGCAGGUUUUGUAAAUUUCUUGUGAAACUGCCAGGCUUAACUUGGCAAUGUGCAGGAAACACUGCAAGACUUGAGAUAGGGAAGGGUCAGAGGUAUUCCUGAGGGAGCGGUAAAAUGCUAUAAUCUCAGGAGGACCACCGGUGGCGAAGGCGUCUGACUAGAACUAAUCUGACUGUGAGGGACGAAAGCUAGGGGAGCAAACCGGAUUAGAUACCCGAGUAGUCCUGGCUGUAAACGCUGUGAGCUAGGUGUCGCGUACUCCACGGGAAUGCGCGGUGUCGUAAAGAAGUUACUAAGCUCACCGCCUGGGAAGUACGGUCGCAAGACUGAAACUUUAAGGAAUUGGCGGGGGAGCAC